CCUGCUGCUGCUCCACCUGCUGCCACUCCACCUGCUGCCACUCCACCUGCUGCCACUCCACCUGCUGCCACUCAGAGCAGGCCCCUGACGGCUGACGGCGUUAACGCUCUGCUGGCACGUGGGAAGCAUUUGUCUCCCUCACAGUUGGCACGAAAAAUUGUUUCUCCAGCCAAACCCUCUCCAGUGCCACGUGUCCCCUCUCCGUCUACAUCCGCUGCCCGCAGACAGCUCUUUAACUGUGACGCUGUUGCUGCUGCUGGGGAUUUUUUUAAGGAGCAAGACGACCAGGAGACGGUGACUGUGGCCUCGCAAGCUGAGGAAAAACUUCCUCAAGCCUCCGACCACCUUCACCCAGCCUCCUGCCUCUCCUGAUCUCUUCUUCUGCCGCCCUUUGUUUCUCUGGAUGCCUCUGAAGAUGUUGUCCAUCAUCUGUGUCCAGCCAGCUUGCAAUAGUCACAGGCUGACAGCAGCUGGCCUGUACAGCACUGUGGUCAAGGUGCUGGACAUAGAUGGUGGUAUGAUAUGACCUCAGAGUAUCUAGAAUGCAAAGGGUGCAAGAAGAAGUAUCCGGCCUGGUCAGAGGACAUCCUGGGACAGCUGGACAUCCUGGGACAGCUGGACAUCCUGGGUCAGAGGACAUCCU